CCUACGGGAGGCUGCAGUGAGGAAUAUUGGUCAAUGGACGAGAGUCUGAACCAGCCAAGUAGUGUGAAGGAUGACUGCCCUAUGGGUUGUAAACUUCUUUUAUAAAGGAAUAAAACGAGGCACGUGUGCCUUUUUGCAUGUACUUUAUGAAUAAGGAUCGGCUAACUCCGUGCCAGCAGCCGCGGUAAUACGGAGGAUCCGAGCGUUAUCCGGAUUUAUUUGGUUUAAAGGGAGCGUAGAUGGGUUGUUAAGUCAGUUGUGAAAGUUUGCGGCUCAACCGUAAAAUUGCAAUUGAUACUGGCAGUCUUGAGUACAGUUGAGGUAGGCGGAAUUCGUGGUGUAGCGGUGAAAUGCUUAGAUAUCACGAAGAACCCCGAUUGCGAAGGCAGCUUACUAAACUGUGACUGACAUUGAUGCUCGAAAGUGUGGGUAUCAAACAGGAUUAGAUACCCUGGUAGUC
rnacentral:rRNA from 1 species